rnacentral:misc_RNA from 1 species
CAGGUAGCUUACCUUCGGGAGGGCGCUUGCCACGGUGUGGCCGAUGACUGGGGUGAAGUCGUAACAAGGUAGCCGUAUCGGAAGGUGCGGCUGGAUCACCUCCUUUUGAGCAUGACGUCAUUCGUCCUGUCGGGCGUCCUCACAAAUUACCUGCAUUCAGAGAUUCAUACCGGCACAGGUCGGUAUGCGAAGUCCCUUUUGGGGCCUUAGCUCAGCUGGGAGAGCACCUGCUUUGCAAGCAGGGGGUCGUCGGUUCGAUCCCGACAGGCUCCACCAUAUUGAGUGAAAAGACUUCGGGUCUGUAGCUCAGGUGGUUAGAGCGCACCCCUGAUAAGGGUGAGGUCGGUAGUUCGAGUCUACCCAGACCCACCACUCUGAAUGUAGUGCACACUUAAGAAUUUAUAUGGAUCAGCGUUGAGGCUGAGACAUGUUCUUUUAUAACUUGUGACGUAGCGAGCGUUUGAGAUAUCUAUCUAAACGUGUCGUUGAGGCUAAGGCGGGGACUUCGAGUCCCUAAAUAAUUGAGUCGUAUGUUCGCGUUGGUGGCUUUGUACCCCACACAACACGGCAUGUAACUCCGAGGCAACUUGGGGUUAUAUGGUCAAGCGAAUAAGCGCACACGGUGGAUGCCUAGGCGGUCAGAGGCGAUGAAGGACGUGGUAGCCUGCGAAAAGUGUCGGGGAGCUGGCAACAAGCUUUGAUCCGGCAAUAUCCGAAUGGGGGAAACCCACUGCUUCGGCAGUAUCUUGCAGUGAAUUCAUAGCUGCUUGAAGCGAACCCGGUGAACUGAAAUAUCUAAGUAACCGGAGGAAAAGAAAUCAACCGAGAUUCCCUGAGUAGUGACGAGCGAACGGGGAACAGCCCUUAGCUGGAAUGG